CUGGUGGCCUCUAGACGGACUCAGCACAAAAGGUCUCUCCCUCCAGUGGCUUGGGGAUGGCUUUUGAGUAAUGAGGCAACAGGGGCUCUGCUGUGUAGCUGGGAUGAACACCUCUUGUGAGCAUGGCAAAGCUUCAGAGGCAGUCCUGUGAGCGCUUUGCUUGAGCAGAUUAAAGGCAGCGGGAAGACCCACCUUAACUCUGGGCAGCAAGCACCUCCUGGUGGUAAUUCAUAUGGAAGGAUGUGGAAGAAGGAAACUUGGCUUGUCGCUUGCUUGCUUUUGCCUUCCCUGGCUAGGUCACCUACCCUGCCACCGCAGUAUUUCUACACCUAAACCAAUUUAGGGAUUCAAAUGUAGGCUGAAGACCAAUCUCUCUAGGAAUCAACCAGACUUUCAGCACAAGAUUAAGUUUGCUAAGACAUCCAGUCUUGUGGUUUGCUUAAAUACCAGACUCUAUGCUUCUCCAGUGUGAGACAGCCACUGUUGGACUACUUACACACACAGCAUCCUGAAGCCAAUCUAAU